UCCAGACUCCUACGGGAGGCAGCAGUGAGGAAUAUUGGUCAAUGGCCGAGAGGCUGAACCAGCCAAGUCGCGUGAGGGAUGACGGCCCUACGGGUUGUAAACCUCUUUUGCCGGGGAGCAACGGGGUCCUUGCGAGGGCCCAAUGAGAGUACCCGGAGAAAAAGCAUCGGCUAACUCCGUGCCAGCAGCCGCGGUAAUACGGAAGAUGCGAGCGUUAUCCGGAUUUAUUGGGUUUAAAGGGUGCGCAGGCGGCGUGUCAAGCAAGCGGUAAAAUAGCGGGGCUCAACCCCGUCGAGCCGUUUGAACUGGCGCGCUUGAGUUCAGGCGAGGUAGGCGGAAUCCGUGGUGUAGCGGUGAAAUGCAUAGAUAUCGCGCAGAACUCCGAUUGCGAAGGCAGCAUGCCGGCUCCACACUGACGCUGAGGCACGAAAGCGUGGGUAUCGAACAGGAUUAGAUACCCUAGUA
rnacentral:rRNA from 1 species